UACGGGGGGGGCAAGCGUUGUUCGGAAUUACUGGGCGUAAAGGGCCAGUAGGCGGCCAACUAAGUCCGACGUGAAAUCCCAAGGCUUAACCUUGGAACUGCGUCGGAUACUGGAUGGCUUGAAUUCGGGGGAGGGAUGCAGAAUUCCAGGUGUAGCGGUGAAAUGCGUAGAGAUGUGGAGGAACACCGAUGGCGAAGGCAGCCUUCUGGGCCAACACUGACGCUCAUGCACGAAAGCGUGGGGAGCAAACAGG
rnacentral:rRNA from 1 species